rnacentral:rRNA from 1 species
GACGAACGCUGGCGGCGUGCUUAACACAUGCAAGUCGAACGGAAAGGCCCAGCUUGCUGGGUACUCGAGUGGCGAACGGGUGAGUAACACGUGGGUGAUCUGCCCCUGACUUUGGGAUAAGCCUGGGAAACUGGGUCUAAUACCGGAUAUGACCUUUCCUCGCAUGGGGUUUGGUGGAAAGCUUUUGCGGUUGGGGAUGGGCCCGCGGCCUAUCAGCUUGUUGGUGGGGUAAUGGCCUACCAAGGCGACGACGGGUAGCCGACCUGAGAGGGAGAUCGGCCACACUGGGACUGAGACACGGCCCAGACUCCUACGGGAGGCAGCAGUGGGGAAUAUUGCACAAUGGGCGGAAGCCUGAUGCAGCGACGCCGCGUGAGGGAUGACGGCCUUCGGGUUGUAAACCUCUUUCAGCUCCGACGAAGCGCAAGUGACGGUAGGAGCAGAAGAAGGACCGGCCAACUACGUGCCAGCCGCCGCAGUAAUAC